GCCUGGGUGGCUCAGUCGGUUGAGCGUCCGACUUCAGCUCGGGUCCUGAUCUCGUGGUUUGUGAGUUCGAGCCCCGCGUCGGGUU
rfam:Felis catus isolate Cinnamon breed Abyssinian chromosome F1, whole genome shotgun sequence.